AGAGAGAAUCUUAAAGGACCAAAGUCGCCAGGAGUGCGCCUGUGACUUCUGCCUUGAAGUGUGGGUGGCUCUGAGGAUGACCCUGAGAAGCUAUCUGCCUGACUGUCCAGUGCUCUCCUAGCAACCUCUGGAUUCAUUUCAGCUACAAGUUUCAUUCAGUGGCUGGCGGUGUUAAAAUGCACAUGACCACUCUCCUCUCCUUUGCUGCACCUCCGCAUCCCAGGUAACCAUGCCCACUGGUCCUACUGUCCCGGUCCAUCCACUGCCUGCGAUCCAGAGUCCUGCACCUGAAACCCAGCCUGCUGAGCAAACACUCCAGUUUACUCAGCUCCAUGGACAGUGCCCUCCUUCCUCACAUUCCUCUAUCCAUAAGGCAACACUUUAAACCACAGUGAGAGCUAAGUGAAGCAUUUAGACAAAUAUGCACAAGCUGUGUAAACAGAGUGACCAACUCUCACAUGAUUCCUGUAUGCUUCUGGCCUGUGAGACAGAAGCCUACAUCCUGGAAUGGCCAGCCAAGCUUGCCACAGGGCCAAGAGCCAAAAGGCUGCCUCUAGGCCUUUGCUGGGCUUCCACACGAAGAGGCCUAGAGAAUGCAAGAAAGCUAGGACCAGAGAGCCUUGAGGGAGCAAUAGGGGCUCAAGGUUAUGCUGGAUCCUCCCAGGUCAUAAUCACCAGGGAGCUGUGACCCACCUGUCUGAGGGGCUGCUGGCAUUUACCAUGCACAUGGCCUGAAGGCCGACACGGAAUGUGUGCCGACAGGAGCCUUCUCUUGGCUGUACUUCCUGGAUUGGAAUCUCCAUGCUCAGGGCACGUGAGCCAAACAGACUACUUCAGAUCAAAAGACGUUUCUGAGGAUGAUGUCUGGUGCAUAGAAAUAUUCGUGCAAGAUUAAAAAUAACCAUCCUGCCCACCGCUGUGGCUGUAAAUAGAAUUUCCCGUUCCUGCAUGUGUGCACAGGCAAGCA